AGUGAACGCUGGCGGUAGGCCUAACACAUGCAAGUCGAACGGCAGCACAGUAAGAGCUUGCUCUUACGGGUGGCGAGUGGCGGACGGGUGAGGAAUACAUCGGAAUCUACUUUUUCGUGGGGGAUAACGUAGGGAAACUUACGCUAAUACCGCAUACGACCUACGGGUGAAAUCAGGGGAUCUUCGCACCUUGCGCGAUUGAAUGAGCCGAUGUCGGAUUAGCUAGUUGGCGGGGUAAAGGCCCACCAAGGCGACGAUCCGUAGCUGGUCUGAGAGGAUGAUCAGCCACACUGGAACUGAGACACGGUCCAGACUCCUACGGGAGGCAGCAGUGGGGAAUAUUGGACAAUGGGCGCAAGCCUGAUCCAGCCAUACCGCGUGGGUGAAGAAGGCCUUCGGGUUGUAAAGCCCUUUUGUUGGGAAAGAAAAGCAGCAGGUUAAUACCCCGCUGUUCUGACGGUACCCAAAGAAUAAGCACCGGCUAACUUCGUG
rnacentral:rRNA from 1 species